rnacentral:rRNA from 1 species
GGACUACACGGGUUUCUAAUCCUGUUUGCUCCCCUAGCUUUCGUCCCUCAGCGUCUGUUGCGAUCCAGCGAGCCGCUUUCGCCUCGGAUGUUCCUGCGGAUAUCUACGCAUUUCACCGCUACACCCGCAAUUCCACUCGCCUCUCUCGCACUCGAGCACGGCAGUUUCGGGAGCAGCCUCUGGGUUAAGCCCAGAGAUUUCACUUCCGACUUGCCGCACCGCCUACGGACCCUUUACGCCCAGUAAUUCCGAGCAACGCUGGCCCCCUACGUUUUACCGCGGCGGCUGGCAC